AAGACACUAUAAAAGAGCAAGUGCUGACACACUGCUCACAUCAGCUCUUGAGGAAGAAUGUUGUCUCUAUGACGACUGUAAUGACGUCCCAGAUGUGGAUACAAGCAAAUUAGCUUAACUUUGUUCAAACCGUAAAGCUACAGUAUGCUUUAUUUGAGAAAUACACAUGGCAUCAUGGCACCACAUUUUAUGAUUUUCCAUUUCUGAAUUCUCCACAUCCUAAAUCACCUCUGGGACAAAGUGAGCCAUCUUCAAGCAAUAUAAAGCCUCCAGAGAUACUGAUGGUAUGGAUUCAACAUUCACACAUUAUAAAAGCUAUUCUGGAUUUCAAGUGGUAACAGAUUUACUACAAGGAAAUAAUAUGACAUCUAUAUGACCCGUCAAUACUGGAUAUCACCAAUGAAUCCGACCAUUUCACAAAGAGAACGUCAUCACUGAUGUCAACAGAAAUGUGCAAAAAUAACUUGAGGGAAAUCUGUCCCUUUCAGUAGGUUGACAACAGUGACCUCUAAUGGUAAGAUGUAGGUAGUGCACUUUCCCCCCGACCAGUUGCUGAUUCAAAAUCAAAAUUUUUAAGUUUUUUUUUCACAAAUAUGAAAACUAGAGAUUACAUUUAAGUAGGGCUAUUGUUACAAUGAUAAAUAGCAUAAAAUGAUAAAUUAAGAUAGAGAGAAAAAAAAAAAAGGAAAUUACUUGAACUCUGAUGCUUUGUACUAUCAAUGUAUGCAAGCUGCCAAUUUUCCCCAAAAAAUAAAAAAUAAAUAAAAAUCCACAAGACUGUAAAUGAUGCUCUUUAUUAUGCUUUAUUGUGAUUUUGAUUCAUGUUAUUGUAAGGAUAAAUACAUCAUUAUAUCAUGCAUUACCAAAAAUAAUAGUUUUUUUUUUUUCCAAUUAUGCUUAGAAAUAACUACACCCUUCAAUCAAACCAAAGAAAACAUGAGGUGCAAUAUUUGCCAAAAUAAUUUUAGCCAUUAAUGCACUACAACAGUCAGCUUAAAUCAGUGUUAUUGUCAUUUUGGUUCUAUAUUUUAAAAUAGUUGUUUUCUUGUUUAAAAUAGUUGCUUUCUUUUACACUGUAAAACAAUGUUUGACUGAAAGCAAUGGUAAGAACCUGUUAAUUGAUUAUCUAAUGGGCCAGUUUAUGUAAUUUUACUGUAAAAUACUGUUAUAGAUCUUAUCAUUUACAGUGAAAAACUGUAAACAAUUCCCUGAGUGACACUAAAUAAAAUAAUUGACAAUUUUUUCUUGUUAGUUUUUGUUAUUAAUUAUGUACUUUUUAUGUUAUAUCUUAUGCUGUUUAAUGUUUCUUGCAUUAUUUUCGUGUCACAUGUGUUGGUGUUUUGUAUUUGUGUGCACCUUCUAGAAUCUAGAUAUUAGUAUUUACCUCAGCUUGUGGAAAAGUGACUCUAAUUCAUCAUUUGCCUCUUUUACCAACUGUAUUAUUACAGUUGUUAUAUAGAUUUUACUUUAGAUGGAAUAUUAACAUUAUAUAAUUAAAUGUGUAGAUUUUUACCCAAAGUCCAGUCCCCUAAACUUGAAAUUCCUUACGAUAUUUUUUAUGGUUCUUUUAUCCCAUUAAGUGUUACAAGAUUUAUUUCCGUAAAUUGUCCAUGUUCAUUUUUUUUCCAGUCUCUUCACACUCGGUAGGAGUGCAUUUGCAGGUCUCUAUGUACGUGUAGUGAUGAAGGAUCUCGCUGCCAUUGGCACACUUCAGCAUCACAUCUUUACGGCUGACACGCUCCUCCCGACAGCAAGAACAACUGUGCAUCAUGAUGUCAUUUUCCAUUGAAUACCUGUGCAGAUUUCCAAGAAAACACCGGUCAGAUGACUGUAGCACAGCAGGAUGUGUGCAAGUGCUCUCACAUUGAUCCAUCAUCACAGUGGCCAGCGCAGGAAGUAACUUCUACAUCCUCGAUGGAAGUGCAGUCCAUUGACAUACAGACGGGUGACGUUCUUCGCACGAACACAGUUGCUGAGUUCACCUGAGAGAUGGUAGAGGCAGACAUUGCAUUUUAUGCUAUGUCUAGUAUGUUAUUUUUAAUGUAACAUCUAUUAAAUGUUCUGCAUAAAUACAAUAGGGUGGAUUAAACAAUUUGAACAUUUUUGUCAGAA